rnacentral:rRNA from 1 species
GCGAGCGAGCGAGCCUGACAAAGAGAGAGGAAAAGCCGGGCGCUUUUGGUUUCUCUGCGUCGCGCGCGUGCGGCUGGCUUGCAGCCGGUCGGCUCGGCAGGGCAUGCAUACCUCAGGGCGUGGCGCUGCACGGCGCGGCCGGUUGGCACGGAGGGCUAAAAUUAAGCCGAGGUGGGGGCUGCCGGCCAGUCAGUUUGGGCGGGGGUGGGGUAGGUUGCCGCCGGCGGGCGAGGGGAGGGUAGGUGCACGGGUGGCGCAGGCGGAGGGAGUGCCAGUGCCGGGUGCCCGGCGGCGAGGGGUGGAGCGGCGGGCAGGCGAGGGGAGAAAAUAAGGGGAGGGGGGAGCAGCGGUCGGCGGGGGCUGAGCGUAGGUAGGUAGUAGAGGUCGGUGGCUCUCCCCUUUAAUCAGGUCUGAAAAUCCCAAAGGACUCUCUCUCUCUAGACCCUCCCCCUCGGUACCUGCCCUUCGACGGCGGCGGGUUGGGGUUGGAGGGCAUGGCCCUCCUGACGACCUCGCUCCCGCUCUGCCGGCGGGAGCAGCUGCGGACCCCCAGCGCUAUGUAGCUGGAGUUGGCGCCGUCGGAGGCGGUCGGCGUCACCGCGCUCCAGCGGCUGCGGCAGUUGUGGGCGGGCCCCCGGAGGCGCGCGGCGGCCGGGGGCGCGUGGCUGUAGGUCACGUUCUUGGCCCAGCUAUGGGAGUUCUUCUUCAUGUUCCGCCUCGCCCGCGCCCCGCCCGGGAGGGGGACCGGGAAGAUGGCGGUCGAGCUGCAGGAGCAGCCGGGCUGGGAGAGCCGGCGGCGGCGGCGGUUCUUCGGGAGGGGCGGGGCGCGCGAAGGGUACGACGCCUCCGCGUACAGCGGGAGAGCGAGGGGCAGCGGCGGGAGCGGCCGCGGCGGCUACCGCGAGGGGGACGGGUUGAUGGCGGCGCCCAGGUUGGAGGGCCGGCGACUGGAGAAGGUAUUCCGGCGACGUCGACGCCGGCGGCGCCUAAGGCUGAGCCUACUACCGAUGUUAUUGUUGUUGAUACUGCUGCUGCUCCCGAGCGUCGUUAGCCGGAGCGCGAGUCACAGCAGAGUGAGACCACCAUUGCCAGGACAAGAACCGCCACCACCCCCGCCGCCACCGCCGUUGUUUUCCUUCUCCCCGCCCUGGCCUCCAAAACCCCUCGAUCGCUACCGUUACCUCUGUAAGCGACUCUACAUACUCGCGUACCUCCGACGGUUCGUCUCCGUACGUCUCCUCUACCUCUUCGUCGCCUAGUUCAAGGAGUUCCUAGACCUCGAGUUCGCCUACGUCCGAAAGCACCUGUACGUCGAAGUUGAAAGCUCCCAUUUCGUUCGGUUUUUGCCAUGGAGUCUCUACGAGUACAGAGAACGACGUGACGGCAAGGAGUCGUUGGGACGAAUGGAGACUAUAUUCUCAAAUCUAAUGAACCUCAGUUCGUACCAUACCACGACGAGAAACUACUUCUAGUUAGAUCCAAGUAACCAUCAAACCACAUAUCCGAGACCUCAGGCCUACACAUUUUGUCUACGAAGACGAGGUCGGUUCUCGAAACCACAGCGGACGCAAAAGACCUGAUAUCGGCAACUGCAAAACAGAGAAAAGAAGGCGACCCUACAAUUGUCUGUUAAAGCAACAAAUCAAAAACAAAGUCAACUGUACUAAAUGUUCCAGACAUUGUCUUUUAUGACUUAUACUUAGUUGAGUUCGGUCGACGAAACUUUACAUGAGGGAGGCAAGGAUUUAUAUUCAGAAAGAUCACCAAGGUGAUCCACCUGAUGUAUGCCUUGUUUAACUUACUUAGAUGUGAAUUUUAUGUAGAUAUAUGUAGGCAUACACCAAGUAUCACCUUAGAAAUGUUUCUGAAUAUAAAUCCUACCUCCCUCAUGUAAGCUCGACCAACCGCGAAAGAGUCAAACGUUCCGCGACUGACCUUUUGCCUUGCCAGCCGAGAAAGAGAAGGAGCCGAUCGUAAGCAAGAAGUAGAACACGACCACCACAACGACGAAUGCGUGCGCCAACGACGAUAAAGCCCGCUACUACCAACCAAGAUCUCAAGCAAAGAGGGAAAGAGGGGAAAAAACCCGAACGGAUGAUUAAAAC